rnacentral:rRNA from 1 species
UACGUAGGUGGCGAGCGUUGUCCGGAUUUACUGGGCGUAAAGGGCGUGCAGGCGGUUUGUUAAGUGCAGGGUGAAAGCUCCCGGCUCAACUGGGAGAGGUCCUUGCAUACUGGCGAACUCGAGGGAGGCAGAGGAAAGUGGAAUUCCCGGUGUAGUGGUGAUAUGCGUAGAUAUCAGGAAGAACACCCGUGGCGAAGGCGGCUCUCUGGGACGGUACUGACGCUGAGACGCGAAAGCGUGGGGAGCGAACAGG